AGAGUUUGAUCAUGGCUCAGGACUAACGCUGGCGGCGUGCCUAACACAUGCAAGUCGAACGCAGUAGCAAUACUGAGUGGCAGACGGGUGAGUAACACGUAGUCAACCUACCUCAGCGUGGGGGAUAACUAGCCGAAAGGUUAGCUAAUACCGCAUACGAUCGCCGAGUGGCAUCACAUGGCGAUGAAAGCAGCAAUGCG
rnacentral:rRNA from 1 species